GGAGCAGCUCAGUGUCCCUUCAGAUCUCUUUAUUCAUUUAUGGGAGGACAGCCAUCGAGUUUGGUUGGGCUGAGUCAGCAAACUCAGGUUUGGUGCCAGCACAUGAAGGAUUAGCAGUAAUAUCCCAGCUUUUAAACGGAUGAGAGAAGUGCAGACGUUUUGAAGAAAGCCUCAAUGUACAUGGGAGUCCAAACAGAAAACUGACAUCACUGACACAAUGCAGCUCAAAAACAGAGGAGCCCUCUCUCUCUCAGCAGUAGAAGUGUUGCUACAUCAGAGGAUGCCUGGAUGCCAAAAAUUACAAGCAAAGGAGAAGAAAUUUUCUGUGUAAAAUAAAGGGAAACACAACAGAUAGAUGACUUCAC